AUUGAACGCUGGCGGCAGGCUUAACACAUGCAAGUCGAGCGAGCGGCGGACGGGUGAGUAAUGCCUGGGAAUCUGCCUUGUGGAGGGGGAUAACUACUGGAAACUGUCGCUAAUACCGCAUACGAUCAGAUGUGCCCAGAUUGGAUUAGCUAGUUGGUGGGGUAAUGGCUCACCUAGGCGACGAUCCCUAGCUGGUCUGAGAGGAUGACCAGCCACACUGGAACUGAGAUACGGUCCAGACUCCUACGGGAGGCAGCAGUGGGGAAUAUUGCACAAUGGGCGCAAGCCUGAUGCAGCCAUGCCGCGUGUGUGAAGAAGGCCUUCGGGUUGUAAAGCACUUUCAGCGAGGAGGCGUUACUCGCAGAAGAAGCACCGGCUAACUCCGUGCCAGCAGCCGCGGUAAUUC
rnacentral:rRNA from 1 species